rnacentral:misc_RNA from 1 species
GAUGAGAAGGAAAACAAAAAUACAAUAUUGAACCAUUUUACAAGAUAAAGUUAUGAACCAAAUGACAUUAGUAACAACAAUAUCUAAUGGACCAGAAGUCCUGACAACCAAUAGAAAAGUUUUUGAUAUGCAUCUUCUACAAUAUUAUGUUCCUUUUUCUAUCUCAACAAAAGAACCUAUAACAAAUCAGGAAACCAAAAAUAAAUUUAAUUGACUACAUAAAUGGAGAGUGGACGACAACAAAUAGAUCAUCAUAUAAAGGCAUUACCAUUUUUUACAGCAAUUAGAGUUCACUCAUGAUUCACCAUGCAUAUUCCACAGCCACAAUUUUUAACACUAUUUUUAGAUCAUGCAUAAUAAGAAUUUCUUCCCUAAACUUGAACCAAUAAAAUAUUUGCUAAAAUUAGUGAUUAUGUGUGUCAGAUACUAAUAAUCUCAUGCAAAAUAUGAAGAAUAUGCUGAUGAAAAUCCAUAUGAUGCAGCACAAACCUAAGUGUAGC